GCUGCCGAGUCAUGGGAAGACCCUGAAACCCAUCAGGAACGCACUGAGGCCUUUGGUCAGGGGUAGGUCAGUCUAAGUGUCCUCUUUCCUCUGAGGACCACAGCCUGGAGAUAAAAGGUUGCAAAAGGCGCAGGGAACAGCAUUUUGAAAUCCUGCACCCUGGGAAGGCUAGCAGCUGGCUCCAGACUAGGUGUGGAGAGCCGCAGAUCCAGCUGCUUCUGGGGCCCCUGACCUCCCAGACCAAAGUGGGAGCCGUCCCAGAGGAGGGGGAGAACAGAGGGCUGGGGGCUGGCCUGCCCCAGGACUCACUGCCAGUCUGCUGCUCUUCCCACCUGGAUCCUUCCCUCCAGGGGGUAAAUAGCUGAAAGGACAGAGAGGUCACAGGUCAUCUUGGGGAGCCGGGGGAACUCAGCAGCCCAGCAGCUGCCAGAGGGCGGGGCUGGGGCCCAGCUCACCAGGUCUCCCUUCCCAGUGAAACAGUCUCAAGUCAUCUCAGUCCAGAAACAGAUGCUGAUACUUGAACCUGCCUUAGGCCCUGCAUGUAUCAGGCUGCACAUCCAGUCCAGGGCACAAACCAUAUAAUUAAAGGUCUAAAUCCUCCUGUA